GACGAACGCUGGCGGCGUGCUUAAUACAUGCAAGUCGAACGCUUCUUUCCUCCCGAGUGCUUGCACUCAAUUGGAAAGCGGAGUGGCGGCCGGGUGAUUAACACGUGUGUAACCUACCCAACAUAGGGGGAUAACACUUGGAAACAGGUGCUAAUACCGCAUAACAGUUUAUGCCGCAUGGCAUAAGAGUGAAAGGCGCUUUCGGGUGUCGUUGUUGGAUGGUCGCGCGGUGCAUGAGCUAGUUGGUGGGGGAACGGCUCACCAAGGCCACGAUGGAUCGCCGACGGGAGUGGGUGAUCGGCGGCACUGGGACGGAGACACGGACCAGACUCCUGCGGGAGGCCGCAGUCGGGAAUCUGAGGCAAUAGACGGAAGUCUGGCAGAGCAGCGGCGAGUGAGUGAAGAAAGUUCUCGGAUCGUAAAACUCUGUUGUUGGAGAAGAACCGGGACGUUAGUAGAUGAACGGCCACUGACGGUAACUGGUAAGAAAGCCACGGCUAACUACGUG
rnacentral:rRNA from 1 species